GACGAACGCUGGCGGCGUGCUUAACACAUGCAAGUCGAACGGAAAGGCCCUGCUUUUGUGGGGUGCUCGAGUGGCGAACGGGUGAGUAACACGAGAGUAACCUGCCCUUGACUUUGGUAUAACUUCAGGAAACUGGGGCUAGUCCAGGAUAGGAGCUCCUGCUGCAUGGUGGGGGUUGGAAAGUUUCGGCGGUUGGGGCUGGACUCGCGGGUUAUCAGCUCGUUGGUGGGGUAGUGGCUUACCAAGGCUUUGACGGGUAGCCGGCCUGAGAGGGUGACCGGCCACAUUGGGACUGAGAUACGGCCCAGACUCCGACGGGAUGCAGCAGUGGGGAAUAGUGCACAAUGGGCGGAAGCCGGAUGCAGCAACGCCGCGUGCGGGAUGACGGCCUUCGGGUUGUAAACCGCUUUCGCCUGGGACGAAGCGGGAGUGACGGUAAUGGGUAAAGAAGCACCGGCUAACUACGUG
rnacentral:rRNA from 1 species